rnacentral:rRNA from 1 species
GCGCACCAGGCGCGAAUCUUCGGCAAUGGGGGAAACCCUGACCGAGCGACGCCGCGUGUGGGAUGAAGGCCCUUGGGUUGUAAACCACUGUCAGAGGGGAUGAAAUGCCGGAAAGUUAUCUCUCCGGUUUGACAUAGCCUCAGAGGAAGCACGGGCUAAGUUCGUGCCAGCAGCCGCGGUAAGACGAACUGUGCAAACGUUAUUCGGAAUCACUGGGCUUGAAGAGUGCGUAGGCGGUUUCGUAAGUAGGGUGUGAAAGCCCCCGGCUCAACCGGGGAAUUGCGUCCUAAACUGCGAGGCUGGAGUGAGGUAGGGGUGUGUGGAACUUCCAGUGGAGCGGUGAAAUGUGUUGAUAUUGGAAGGAACGCCGGUGGCGAAAAGCGACACACUGGACCUUGUCUGACGCUGAGGCACGAAAGCCAGGGGAGCAAACGGGAUUAGAUACCCGUGUAGU